GGUUCUGAGUAAUCGCGGUUAAUUUUAAUUAACUGAGGAAAGUCCACUCUCGCACAAACUGAGAUGUUUGUAGUGUUCGUGCUCGGCGAAAAAAUAAGCCGGGGGAUUAAUUUUAAAUUAGUUACGGCGGAAAAAUUAACUAAAGUUUUAACCAAGUUAUAGUAUUCCUUAAAAGUGCCACAGAAACGAACGUUUAAAAGAAAUUUUAACGAUGGAACGCGGUAAACCCCACGAGCGGGAAACCCAAACUUUGGUAGGGGAGCUUCACAUAGGGAAUUGAACUGAUUGUGAGGGAAGAAGUUAUUACUUCUUGAGAUAGAUGAUUACUACUUAUUAUAUAAUUUCCUGAAAUUUAUAAUAAGCACAAAACAUGGCUUACAGGA
rnacentral:RNase_P_RNA from 1 species